rnacentral:misc_RNA from 1 species
UCUCCGUUGGUGAACCAGCGGAGGGAUCAUUACUGGAAUCGCAAGAUCCCACAACCCUGUGAACCUACCGAAACGUUGCCUCGGCGGGUGCCCGGCCCCCGCGCCGGGCGCUGCGUCCGCCGGCGGCCCCCUACUCUGUCUCUGCAGCGUGGCAUCUCAGAGUCCCAGAAAACAAGUCAAAACUUUCAACAACGGAUCUCUUGGCUCUA